rnacentral:rRNA from 1 species
AGAAUCAACGCUGGCGGCGUGCCUAACACAUGCAAGUCGAACGAGAAAGUGGAGCAAUCCAUGAGUAAAGUGGCGCACGGGUGAGUAACACGUGACUAACCUACCCUUGAGUGGGAAUAACUUCGGGAACCGAGGCUAAUACCGCAUAACACCUACGGGUCAAAGGAGCAAUUCGCUUAAGGAGGGGGUCGCGGCAGAUUAGUUAGUUGGCGGGGUAAUGGCCCACCAAGACAGUGAUCUGUA